UACGUAGGGGGCAAGCGUUGUCCGGAUUUACUGGGCGUAAAGAGCGUGUAGGCGGCCACGCAGGUCCGUUGUGAAAACUGGAGGCUCAACCUCCAGACGUCGACGGAAACCGUAUGGCUAGAGUCCGGAAGAGGAGAGUGGAAUUCCUGGUGUAGCGGUGAAAUGCGCAGAUAUCAGGAGGAACACCGGUGGCGAAGGCGGAUCUCUGGGCCUUACCUGACGCUGAGGCGCGAAAGCUAGGGGAGCAAACAGG
rnacentral:rRNA from 1 species